CUGCUGCCUUCCGUAGGAGUAUGGACCGUUCUCAGUUCCAUUGUGGCCGUUCAACCUCUCAGUCCGGCUACGCAUCAUCGCCUUGGUAGGCCCUUACCCCACCAACUAGCUAAUGCGCCACAGGCCCCUCCUUAAGCAGAUCUCUCUUUUAAAUAUAAAAGAUUCUUCCUCUAUAUCCUAUCCAGUUUUAUCCAUCGUCUCCAAUGGCUAUCCUCGUCUUAAGGGUAGGUUACCUAUGUAUUACUCACCCGUUCGCCACUAAAA
rnacentral:rRNA from 1 species